ensembl:lncRNA
UCUGUCUAGUGCUUCAAGAUCUCUGUUUGAUUAUGUUGCUCAUCUUUUUUGGUGCUGACUGCCACAAACUGCACCAAGAUCAACUUUGCAAGUCUACUUGCCCUGGGCAGAACACCGGUUACUUGACCAGUAUUGUGUUUAAGGCUGAAGGCCAAAACUCAGGCAGACACGGUGGACCAUCGGUUCAAGAGGUUUCCAAUACAGUGAGGAGGCUGUGUGCUCAUCUUGCAGAUCAACAACAGGUCAGGCACUGGCUCACAGCAUUAAGGCUUUUCUUUUAUUCAAGAUGGUCGGUUUCACUCUUUUUUCUUCAUCACCCUUUGCAAUCAGAGCUUCUCCUGAAUCUAGUGCUUCAGUUGAGAACCUUGUCAUCCCAUCAGUUGAGAGACCUGUGG